rfam:Triticum aestivum genome assembly, contig: Triticum_aestivum_CS42_TGACv1_scaffold_089577_1DS
GGAUGCGAUCGUACCAGCACUAAGGCACCAGAUCCCAUCAGAACUCCGAAGUCAAGCGUGCUUGGGCGAGAGUAGUACUAGGAUGGGUGACCUCCUGGGAAGUCCUCGUGUUAUAUUCC